GCAGAGCCAUGAUUUCCCACCGAGCGAUUACGAGAACCUCUUCCCCCAAUAGUAGACACAUCUCCAAUACAAACACAGGUUUAUAAUAAGUAAUAGGAAGUCAAUAUAAUAUAGAUUAUCCCCAGAAAAAAAUCAACAAUCUUCAAACACUGCCCUUUUUUUGUGUGUUUUGUUUUUGUUGACAGGUUGAAAGCAUGUUGAAAAAAAUAAAUAUUUAAGAAAAGCACACACAGCACCCUCACUACAAGUAGUUCUAAAAGGGCUGCAUACAAAACACAAUAUAAGAUCUAAAAAAAACCACCACCAUUAAGUAUGGCUUUCUUAAGAGUCGCACAUGUCACAGAAUGAGCUAAAAUAAGAUUACUUCUUUUAUAAUAUUGCAAAAAGUUCCAGUUUUUGCAUUUUCUCAGUUUUUUAAAGAGGAAGAUGUGCAAAGUUGGAAGCAGUAAGCUGCGUCUUCUGAGUCAGUUCCCUACGUAGCCCUGGCAGUGUCCUGUGUCCCAAAGCUCAGAGAGCCCCAGUGUACAACCUGGUCAGGAUCCAGAGCUUGACAGAAAAAUCGUGGUGUCCCUGCCCCCUCCCCGCCCCCAAAUAACACCAUCCCCAAUGGACUGUAUUUCCCACUUUGGUGUUGUAAACACCAAAAUACAAACAGACACAAACAAAAAUACAAAAUGUGAAAUGUAAUCUACACAUUUUUCCUCUUCAUAAAAAAAUAUUUAUUAGUUUGAACAUCGAUUUAAAAAAAAAUCAGUCACAUAAAAAAAACCCUUCAUGACAUGUCUUUUCCCUCCACGCCUCCUGAGAUGGACGUGCUCACCUGGGCCUCGGAAAUCCCACACUCUUCAGUCGGCAAACUGCGAACAAGAACAGGAAAUCUGCCACGCAGCAAACACUUGGGGAGCCCUGAAGCUCAGCACUCCGGGGGGUCUUCACACGGGCAGGUCCUGGAGGGAAGGAGGAGGCCACCGCGCCCACCUCCCAUCUGAAGGCACAGCACCGCAGUGGUGGCCUGUGCCAGAGGAGGGGGUGAAGGAUGGAAUGUCCUCAUGGAAAAGAAAGAACAUGUGAGUGCUUCUGAAAACACAGCAAGAGGACUUGAGCACAAGCUAAAGGAAAAACAACCCUAUAUAGUUUCUUCGAGUGAGAAAAAUAAUGCCAAACAAAAUAAUUUUAUGUAA